CUACGGGACGCUGCAGUGAGGAAUAUUGCACAAUGGGGGGAACCCUGAUGCAGCAACGCCGCGUGGAGGAUGACGCAUUUCGGUGUGUAAACUCCUUUUAUAUGUCAAGAAAAUGACGGUAGCAUAUGAAUAAGCACCGGCUAACUCCGUGCCAGCAGCCGCGGUAAUACGGAGGGUGCAAGCGUUACUCGGAAUCACCGGGCGUAAAGGACGCGUAGGCGGGUUGGAAAGUCAGGUGUGAAAUCCUACAGCUUAACUGUAGAACUGCACUUGAAACUUCUAAUCUAGAGUAUGGGAGGGGGAGAUGGAAUUAGUGGUGUAGGGGUAAAAUCCGUAGAUAUCACUGGGAAUACCUAAAGCGAAGGCGAUCUCCUGGAACAUUACUGACGCUAAGGCGUGAAAGCGUGGGGAGCAAACAGGAUUAGAUACCCCGGUAGUC
rnacentral:rRNA from 1 species